rnacentral:rRNA from 1 species
AUUGAACGCUGGCGGCAGGCCUAACACAUGCAAGUCGAGCGGAUGAAGGGAGCUUGCUCCUGGAUUCAGCGGCGGACGGGUGAGUAAUGCCUAGGAAUCUGCCUGGUAGUGGGGGAUAACGUCCGGAAACGGGCGCUAAUACCGCAUACGUCAUGAGGGUGAAAGUGGGGGUUCUUCGGACCUCACGCUAUCAGAUGAGACUAGGUCGGAUUAGCUAGUUGGUGGGGUAAAGGCCUACCAAGGCGACGAUCCGUAACUGGUCUGAGAGGAUGAUCAGUCACACUGGAACUGAGACACGGUCCAGACUCCUACGGGAGGCAGCAGUGGGGAAUAUUGGGCAAUGGGCGAAAGCCUGAUCCAGCCAUGCCGCGUGUGUGAAGAAGGUCUUCGGAUUGUAAAGCACUGUAAGUUGGGAGGAAGGGCAGUAAGUUAAUACCUUGCUGUUUUGACGUUACCAACAGAAUAAGCACCGGCUAACUUCGUG